rnacentral:rRNA from 1 species
GUGCAGCAGGCGAGAAUAGUCUACAAUGGACGAGAGUCUGAUAGUGCGACGCCGUGUGUGCGAUUAAUUCCUUCGGGGUGUAAAGCACUUUUCUAUGAGAUAAAAGCUCUUUAGGUUAAUAGCUUAUUGAGACGGAUAUUAUUAUAGGAAUAAGCUCCGGCUAACUCCGUGCCAGCAGCCGCGGUAAUACGGAAGGAGCGAGCGUUGUCCGGAUUUACUAGGCGUAAAGGGCUAGUAGGCGACUAAUUAAGUUAUAUGUUAAAUCCCACGGCUCAACUGUGGUCCUGCAUGUAAUACUGGUUAGAUAGAGUACUGUAGAGGAAGGCAGAAUUCCUGGAGUAGCGGUGGAAUGCGCAGAUAUCAGGAAGAAUACCAAAAGACGAAGGCAGCCUUCUGGGCAGUUACUGACGCUGAAUAGCGAAGGUGUGGGUAGCGAACAGGAUUAGAUA